UACGUAGGGGGCUAGCGUUGUCCGGAAUCAUUGGGCGUAAAGCGCGUGUAGGCGGUCCGGUAAGUCCGCUGUGAAAGUCGGGGGCUCAACCCUCGAAUGCCGGUGGAUACUGUCGGGCUAGAGUGCGGAAGAGGCGAGUGGAAUUCCUGGUGUAGCGGUGAAAUGCGCAGAUAUCAGGAGGAACACCAGUGGCGAAGGCGG
rnacentral:rRNA from 1 species